GCGGGGGUAGCUCGAUUGGACAGAGCAGCGGACUCUUAAUCCGUUGGUUACGGGUUCAACUCCCGUCCCCCGCA
rnacentral:tRNA from 1 species